UACGUAGGGUGCGAGCGUUAAUCGGAAUUACUGGGCGUAAAGCGUGCGCAGGCGGCUUUGCAAGACAGAUGUGAAAUCCCCGGGCUCAACCUGGGAACUGCAUUUGUGACUGCUAGGCUAGAGUACGGCAGAGGGGGAUGGAAUUCCGCGUGUAGCAGUGAAAUGCGCAGAUAUGCGGAGGAACACCAAUGGCGAAGGCAAGC
rnacentral:rRNA from 1 species